UACGAAGGGGGCUAGCGUUGCUCGGAAUCACUGGGCGUAAAGCGCACGUAGGCGGAUUGUUAAGUCAGGGGGUGAAAUCCUGGAGCUCAACUCCAGAACUGCCUUUGAUACUGGCGAUCUCGAGUCCGGGAGAGGUGAGUGGAACUGCGAGUGUAGAGGUGAAAAUUCGUAGAUAUUCGCAAGAACACCAGUGGCGAAGGCGGCUCACUGGCCCGGUACUGACGCUGAGGUGCGAAAGCGUGGGGAGCAAACAGG
rnacentral:rRNA from 1 species